CUUCAAAGGAAGAAACUCUUAGAAGCCUUUUCAGAUUUUUCUUCGGUUAUAAUGUCCUCACUGAUUUUAUCGUCCUCUACAUUGAUAAAAGAGCUCCAGCUGCACCCAGAGGUCACCAUAAUUGACAUUCACAUUUGAAUUCUCCUCAUUUAUGCUUAAAUGUUAUGGAGACUACCAGUCUUACAACCAACUAAUGCUCCUGAGAGCAGCGCAACAAGAAAUGGAGUAGCAAAGUGAAGAAAGGCUGGAAAUUACUCAUAAAGAAAAACCACAAUCAAGAAUGAUGUACUCUGUAGUUUCUUUGGACUCUUUAUUAUUAGCAUGGCUGAGCAUUGGAGAGCUCUGUGCAUUUACCUUGGUGAGGAGUAAUGAUAAAUUGGUGCGGAAGGAGACAGUGUGUGGAUAUAGUAGAAAAGCUGAAGCCCAAGCUACAGGGUGCAGAUUUUAUACCGAAGGCAGUGGAGCUACUUAUUGGUGCCCUAGAGGCAUGAUUCAAAGAGAUAUUAACCUCUCCCAGCAAUUUUUUCAGACUGACAGGCAGUGUAACAAACAGGAUAG